UAUAAAGUCUGACCUGCCCAAUGAAAAUUUAAAUGGCCGCGGUAUUUUGACCGUGCAAAGGUAGCAUAAUAAUUAGUUUUUUAAUUGAAAGCUGGAAUGAAUGGUUGGACGAGAAAAUAACUGUCUCAUAUUAAUUUAAUUAGAAUUUUAUUUUUAAGUAAAAAAGCUUAAAUUUUUUUAAAAGACGAGAAGACCCUAUAGAGCUUUAUAUGUUUAUAAUUAAAUUUAAUGUAGAAUUUUAGUAUUUUUAUUUUUAAAUGUAUUUUAUUGGGGUGAUAAAAAAAUUAAUAAAACUUUUUUUUUAUAAUAACAUUGAUUUAUGAAUAAUUGAUCCAUUUUUUAUGAUUAAAAGAUUAAGUUACCUUAGGGAUAACAGCGUAAUUUUUUUUUAGAGUUCUUAUCGAAAAAAGAGAUUGCGACCUCGAUGUUGGAUUAAAAUUAAUGUUUGGUGUAGAGGCUAGACAAUUAGGUCUGUUCGACCUUUAAAAUUUUACA
rnacentral:rRNA from 1 species